CGGGGGAUGGUGGAAAUGUCCGCCUCGCGUCAGCUGUCGCCCAAGGAGAAAUCCUGUUAGCCCCCACAGCCGGAGACUUAGCAGUUCACGAUAAACCCUGGUGUAGAGACUGAACUUUGGGAACCUGGACGGAUACCUUGGUCACCACGCAACAGAAAUCAAAGGCGUAGGCAUCUGCCACCUGAGUUUCCUCCCCAACGCCCUACCAGUGGGGUCACUGAAAAGCUCAGGGCGCGGUCUGGCAGAGAGACAGCAUCGCCCCUCCCACACCCAGAUGAUCGGGGCGGGGGUCACUCCCUGGGUCAGAAGGCGUCAAGGACUUCUUGGAUCCUCGCUCUGCGGGUCCAGCCGCCGACCCGGGGCCCGCCAGUCGCCAGCUCACGCCACUCUGCCUGACGCCAGGCUGGCUCUAUCCUUUUUGCCCCCCUUUAACUCCGCACGGAAGGGCUGUUUUUUAAAAUGGUCGCGUGAAAAAUGAGGGAGGAAAAGCAAGCAGCCAAUAAUCGAUACUAGGGUAGCGAAAAAGAAACACCCUGCCUGGGAAUGCCUAAUACAGUAGGCGCCCGUUCAAUGUUUGUUCGGGGAGGGCUGGGUGACUCAGAACAAACAACUCGAAGUCAGGAGGUAGCUGUGCGGCUCUGCCACGUGGUCAGUUAUACAAGCCAUUUAGUCUCUCUCAUCUGUAAAACGACAGAGUUGGACUAAAUGUCUUCUUUGGGACGGCCCAUUCAGCUGAACUCAUUCAGGAGCCUGCCUUGUGGAAGCCUAAAGACAUCCAGCUGGUUCGUGAAGAGAAUAACUAGCUCUGUUCUGUCUCUUUGCCCCUUAUUCUAGGUGCCCUUCUUUGACAGAAUGUAUUGUGCUACCAUUGAAGUUGUACAGACACAAGGAAUACAGUACUGCCCCUACUUCAGCUGGUGACAGAAAAAAGAGUAUCAGAAUUUGUAUGGUUGCAAUGAACCAUAACCCAGACCUGCUCAGGUUUUGUAAGAGUGGUUAUCACUACCAGAAGAUCAGCAAUGCAGCUGGCCUACAGAUGAUGAGAACUUUUUUGUUUGACCUGAUUUUCUUUUACUCCAAACUGCCUUCCAG
ensembl:lncRNA